rnacentral:rRNA from 1 species
AAUAUUGGACAAUGGGCGAAAGCCUGAUCCAGCCAUGCCGCGUGUGUGAAGAAGGUCUNAGGAUUNUNAAGCAGUUUUAGUUGGGNGGAAGGGUUGUAGAUUAAUACUCUGCAAGUGUGACGUUACCGAUUGAAUAAGCACCGACUCACGUCGUGCUAGCAGCCGCGGUAAUACGAAGGGUGCAAGCGUUAAUCGGAAUUACUGGGCGUAAAGCGCGCGUAGGUGGUUCGUUAAGUUGGAUGUGAAAGCCCCGGGCUCCACCUAGGAACUGCAUCCAAAACUGGCGAGCUAGAGUACGGUAGAGGGUGGUGGGAUUUCCUGUGUAGCGGUGAAAUGCGUAGAUAUAGGAAGGAACACCAGUGGCGAAGGCGACCACCUGGACUGAUACUGACACUGAGGUGCGAAAGCGUGGGGAGCAAACAGG